GGACUUGUGGCCUAGUGGUUAUGGCGUCCGCCUUACAUAAGCAGCGCUCACUCCGUCGUGCUUUGCAUAAUGUCCUCGCGGAAGGUCGCCGGUUCAAUCCCGGCCGGGUUCA